rnacentral:rRNA from 1 species
GACGAACGAGGGAGGGGGGAGGAACACAUGCAAGUCGAACGGAAAGGCCCUGCUUUUGUGGGGUGCUCGAGUGGCGAACGGGUGAGUAACACGUGAGUAACCUGCCCUUGACUUUGGGAUAACUUCAGGAAACUGGGGCUAAUACCGGAUAGGAGCUCCUGCUGCAUGGUGGGGGUUGGAAAGUUUCGGCGGUUGGGGAUGGACUCGCGGCUUAUCAGCUUGUUGGUGGGGUAGUGGCUUACCAAGGCUUUGACGGGUAGCCGGCCUGAGAGGGUGACCGGCCACAUGGGGACUGAGAUACGGCCCAGACUCCUACGGGAGGCAGCAGUGGGGAGUAUUGCACAAUGGGCGGAAGCCUGAUGCAGCAACGCCGCGUGCGGGAUGACGGCCUUCGGGUUGUAAACCGCUUUCGCCUGUGACGAAGCGUGAGUGACGGUAAUGGGUAAAGAAGCACCGGCUAACUACGCG